GCAAGUCGAACGAACUUCCGUUAAUUGAUUAUGGACGUGCUUGCACUGAAUGAGAUUUUAACACGAAGUGAGUGGCGGACGGGUGAGUAACACGUGGGUAACCUGCCCAGAAGCAGGGGAUAACACCUGGAAACAGAUGCUAAUACCGUAUAACAGAGAAAACCGCCUGGUUUUCUUUUAAAAGAUGGCUCUGCUAUCACUUCUGGAUGGACCCGCGGCGCAUUAGCUAGUUGGUGAGGUAACGGCUCACCAAGGCGAUGAUGCGUAGCCGACCUGAGAGGGUAAUCGGCCACAUUGGGACUGAGACACGGCCCAGACUCCUACGGGAGGCAGCAGUAGGGAAUCUUCCACAAUGGACGCAAGUCUGAUGGAGCAACGCCGCGUGAGUGAAGAAGGGUUUCGGCUCGUAAAGCUCUGUUGUUAAAGAAGAACGUGGGUGAGAGUAACUGUUCACCCAGUGACGGUAUUUAACCAGAAAGCCACGGCUAACUACGUGCCAGCAGCCGCGGUAAUACGUAGGUGGCAAGCGUUAUCCGGAUUUAUUGGGCGUAAAGCGAGCGCAGGCGGUCUUUUAAGUCUAAUGUGAAAGCCUUCGGCUCAACCGAAGAAGUGCAUUGGAAACUGGGAGACUUGAGUGCAGAAGAGGACAGUGGAACUCCAUGUGUAGCGGUGAAAUGCGUAGAUAUAUGGAAGAACACCAGUGGCGAAGGCGGCUGUCUGGUCUGUAACUGACGCUGAGGCUCGAAAGCAUGGGUAGCGAACAGGAUUAGAUACCCUGGUAGUCCAUGCCGUAAACGAUGAUUACUAAGUGUU
rnacentral:rRNA from 1 species